rnacentral:rRNA from 1 species
AGGAAUAUUGGUCAAUGGACGAGAGUCUGAACCAGCCAAGUAGCGUGAAGGAUGACUGCCCUAUGGGUUGUAAACUUCUUUUAUACGGGAAUAAAGUGAGGCACGUGUGCCUUUUUGUAUGUACCGUAUGAAUAAGGAUCGGCUAACUCCGUGCCAGCAGCCGCGGUAAUACGGAGGAUCCGAGCGUUAUCCGGAUUUAUUGGGUUUAAAGGGAGCGUAGGCGGACGCUUAAGUCAGUUGUGAAAGUUUGCGGCUCAACCGUAAAAUUGCAAUUGAUACUGGGUGUCUUGAGUACAGUAGAGGCAGGCGGAAUUCGUGGUGUAGCGGUGAAAUGCUUAGAUAUCACGAAGAACUCCGAUUGCGAAGGCAGCUUGCUGGACUGUAACUGACGCUGAUGCUCGAAAGUGUGGGUAUCAAACAGGAUUAGAUACCCUGGUAGUCCACACAGUAAACGAUGAAUACUCGCUGUUUGCGGUAUACAGUAAGCGGCCAAGCGAAAACGUUAAGUAUUCCACCUGGGGAGUACGCCGGCAACGGUGAAACUCAAAGGAAUUGACGGGGGCCCGCACAAGCGGAGGAACAUGUGGUUUAAUUCGAUGAUACGCGAGGAACCUUACCCGGGCUUGAAUUGCAACUGAAUGAUGUGGAGACAUGUCAGCCGCAAGGCAGUUGUGAAGGUGCUGCAUGGUUGUCGUCAGCUCGUGCCGUGAGGUGUCGGCUUAAGUGCCAUAACGAGCGCAACCCUUAUCGAUAGUUACCAUCAGGUUAUGCUGGGGACUCUGUCGAGACUGCCGUCGUAAGAUGUGAGGAAGGUGGGGAUGACGUCAAAUCAGCACGGCCCUUACGUCCGGGGCUACACACGUGUUACAAUGGGGGGUACAGAAGGCAGCUACACGGCGACGUGAUGCUAAUCCCUAAAGCCUCUCUCAGUUCGGAUUGGAGUCUGCAACCCGACUCCAUGAAGCUGGAUUCGCUAGUAAUCGCGCAUCAGCCACGGCGCGGUGAAUACGUUCCCG